GUAGUUGUGGCCGAGUGGUUAAGGCAAUGGAUUUGAAAUCCAUGGGGAGCUCCCUGCGCAGGUUCGAAUCCUGUCAACCACA